rnacentral:antisense_RNA from 1 species
GAGCUUCCGCAGAGAUCCUGCAGAUGUGAUUCAAGUCUUCCAGCAACACCACCUCACUCUGCUUUGCACAAUCACUCCACCUCCCCACAUGUUGCGGAGAUUCUCCUGGGGAUUCACACUUUUCCUACUUGUGACACAGGAAACAUCCUCCACCAGGUCUUCUCUCACAGUGUGGCCUCUGCGCACAGAUUAUCCACCUGUAGACCUGGACGGGACCCUCGAGGCUCCCUACUCUGACCAUCUGGUUUUAUAGUUGAGGAACCAGAAGCCGAGGCAGGGUCUCGACGGUGAAGAGCAGGCUGUUUCCAUCUUCAGGAUAGAAGCCACCUGCGCAUAGGAAGAGGGUCCAGAGGCUCAUCUGGAAUCCCUCCUCACUCACUGGACGGAGGACCUGACCCCGUUCCCAUCAUUGGUUCUGAAUCCAUCAGCCCAGCAAGACAGGUCUCUCCAGCAAGUUCUGUAAAAUACAACCAUAGCUGGGCCUGGAGUCAGCCCCUGAUAAAAGGGUUCACCAUG